UGUGUGUGUGUGUGUGUGUGUGUGUGUGUGUGUGUGUGUGUGUGUGUGUGUGUGUGUGUGCAGUGAUGCCAGAUCUAGUGGUGGUGGUAGUGAUGGAAGCCGCGUUGCCAAGUGUUGCCCUAAUUAAUCUAUGGUUCUUGUAUAAUUCUUAAUAUGGCUUUAAUUGAUGGACAUUUUACCAUGUUUGUGUGUGUGUGUGUGUGUGUGUGUGUGUGUGUGUGUGUGUGUGUGUGUGUGUGUGUGUGUGUGUGUGUGUGUGUGUGUGUGUGUGUGUGUGUGUGU